rnacentral:lncRNA from 1 species
UCAGUGGCAGGACAACCUGAUCAAAACUUAUGGCUGACACCCUAAAGAUAGCUUCACAUGGUAGCAAAAAUGAGCAAAACAGACUUGAGUUCUAAUUCCUCCUCCACUUUGGCCCAGUUGUUUCCACUUUCUGAGCCACUUAACUCAACUGUAAAUGUAGAAUGGCAAUCCAAACUUUAUUCUUGUGGAGUUUGAAUGAGCAUAUCUCAUUUUGGACUAGCCAUCUUUCAAGAGCUCAACAGCCACGUGCUAUUAAUGGCUACCACAUUAAAGGCUCCAAGUCUAGAUGGAAAAUAAACAAGUAAACCUAUAAACACAGUUAAUAGAGAAAAGAACUUCCAUGAAAAGGCGCACUCCAAUCCUGCCAUUUCUCAGAAAAAAACUAUCUUUGAAAUAAGAGACUAAAGAGCAGUCUCGAAUCAGAGUCCUCCCUUAUGUCAUAAAACUAGCACCUCAGCCCUGACAAAGACGGAAAUCAUUUUGUGCACAGAAUUUAUCCUCUGAGCCACUUUCUCCAGGAAGAGCUCCUGGAGUUAUGUAUCCUCCCUUCACAGUAAUUCCUCCUUUCCUCACAUCCCUCAUCAUUGCCUACUCUGUCACUAUCAGCCCACUCUGGGUAUGCUGAGUAGAAGAUGACCGAUUGCUUUCAGUUUGCUUCAUUUUUGUUUUUGUGUCUUACAAGUUAACGUAGAAGUCAGGGCCUGACUGCUGUUACAUAUUUGAUAGACUGCAGGCUUCUUGGAGGAGGGAAUUUGUA